CCUAUUGAUACCGCAAUACCAUCCCGUCACCCACACGAGGGUAGUGGCCUGGAGGACGCACCGGUUAGUCCUUCUGUUGCAUCGAUCGAGGGUUCUCUCCGAACACCUUCCCCGAAAGUUUAGGACGAGCGAUUAUGGUUACUUGCUGAUAUCCCGAGCUCGACCAAAAAAAUUGUGGAUAUUGGUUCACAGGAGGAGGACUUCCAGGAGGAUGAUUUUGAGGUCAUCCCUAUUGAGUCUGCCGAGGGAGCACGCGUGGUGGACUUGACCGUGUUUCAAGAUUCUCCAGCUAAACCUCCUCCCGCAUACGUGGAGAAGAUGAUUCGUAUAACACGUGGCCGGAUCGUCUGGAAGGGUCCGCUGGUUCACACCCCGUAUACGAAUCCACUCAAAGGGAGGGUGAAAUGGCAACCUACGGUCAUUCCAUCCUCUGCCUCUGAGCGUGAGGAAUCUUUCCUCACAUGGUACACCAGCGCUGCGGCUUCCGACUCACAUGAUGUCUACUUCAUCGGGUCGAAGUCAACGGACAGCUUCUGAAGGCUUGUUGUAGAGUUGCGCGAAUGGUUGACC